rnacentral:rRNA from 1 species
GUCUACCACCAUACCACCCUGAAUGCGCCUGAUCUCGUCUGAUCUUGGAAGCUAAGCAGGGUAGGACCUGGUUAGGACUUGGAUGGGAGACAGCCUGGGAAUACAGGGUGCUGUAGGCU